rnacentral:rRNA from 1 species
AUUGAACGCUGGCGGCAGGCUUAACACAUGCAAGUCGCACGGUCAGCAAUGGCAGUGGCGGACGGGUGAGGAACGCGUAGGGAUGUGUCCUGUGGUGGGGGAUAACGCUGGGAAACUGGCGCCAAUACCGCAUGAGUGCUGAGGCAGAAAGCUGUAAGGCGCCAUUGGAGCAACCUGCGUCCGAUUAGGUAGUUGGUGGGGUAAUGGCUUACCAAGCCUGCGAUCGGUAGCUGGUCUGAGAGGACGACCAGCCACACUGGGACUGAGACACGGCCCAGACUCCUACGGGAGGCAGCAGUGGGGAAUAUUGGACAAUGGGCGCAAGCCUGAUCCAGCAAUGCCGCGUGGAUGAAGAAGGUCUUCGGAUUGUAAAGUCCUUUCGGCGGGGACGAUGAUGACGGUACCCGCAGAAGAAGCCCCGGCUAACUUCGUGCCAGCAGCCGCGGUAAUACGAAGGGGGCUAGCGUUACUCGGAAUUACUGGGCGUAAAGGGCGCGUAGGCGGCUUUGUAAGUCAGGCGUGAAAUUCCUGGGCUCAACCUGGGGGCUGCGGCUUGAGACUGCGGAGCUAGAGGAUGGAAGAGGGUCGUGGAAUUCCCAGUGUAGAGGUGAAAUUCGUAGAUAUUGGGAAGAACACCGGUGGCGAAGGCGGCGACCUGGUCCAUUACUGACGCUGAGGCGCGACAGCGUGGGGAGCAAA